rnacentral:tRNA from 1 species
GCUCCGGUGGCACAAUCGGUUAGCGCGCCGUACUUAUAGACAGUACCUUCUCUGUGCAGAACGUCUGUUCACACAGAUUGAGGCAUGCGGAGGUUGUGAGUUCGAGCCUCACCCGGAGCA